AACGAACGCUGGCGGCAUGCCUAACACAUGCAAGUCGAACGAAGUCUUCGGACUUAGUGGCGCACGGGUGAGUAACGCGUGGGAACCUGCCCUUCGGUACGGAAUAACGUCGGGAAACUGACGCUAAUACCGUAUAUGUCUCCGGAUGAAAGAUUUAUCGCCGGGGGAGGGGCCCGCGUCCGAUUAGCUAGUUGGUGAGG
rnacentral:rRNA from 1 species